rnacentral:misc_RNA from 1 species
CUAUAAUAAAGGCUCUUGCAAAAGACAUUAGCAUACACUUGAAUCACAGGGUAAGAAAAAUAUGCUAUGGGCCUAAUAAGGUGAUGGUCAUGGUUGAGAACGGAAGGAAAUUUAUAGCUGAUGCUGCUAUAGUUACAGUACCCAUUGGGAUUCUAAAAGCCAAUUUAAUUCAGUUUGAACCCAAGUUGCCAGAAUGGAAGGUUGCUUCAAUUUCAGAUAUUGGUGUUGGCAGUGAA